UACCAGCGUUUGACAUCCUCAUCGCGGAUUUCAGAGAUGAUUUCCUUCAGUUCGGCUGGAUGAGUGACAGGUGCUGCAUGGCUGUCGUCAGCUCGUGUCGUGAGAUGUUGGGUUAAGUCCCGCAACGAGCGCAACCCUCGUCUUUAGUUGCCAUCAUUUAGUUGGGCACUCUAAAGAAACCGCCGGUGAUAAGCCGGAGGAAGGUGGGGAUGACGUCAAGUCCUCAUGGCCCUUACACGCUGGGCUACACACGUGCUACAAUGGCGGUGACAGUGGGCUGCAACCUCGCAAGGGGUAGCUAAUCCCAAAAAGCCGUCUCAGUUCGGAUCGUUCUCUGCAACUCGAGAGCGUGAAGGCGGAAUCGCUAGUAAUCGCGGAUCAGCAUGCCGCGGUGAAUACGUUCCCAGGCCUUGUACACACCGCCCGUCACACCACGGGAGUUGGUUUCACCCGAAGGCAGUGCUCUAACCCGCAAGGGAGGAAGCUGACCACGGUGGGAUCAGCGACUGGGGUGAAGUCGUAACAAGGUAACCAAGGG
rnacentral:rRNA from 1 species